AUGGGUAUGAUUUUUACCAUAGUUCAAGCAUACAAUAAUGAGUUCAUCAUAAAAAUUUUACCACAAUUGGACCAUAGGAACUACAUAUAUGAAUUAUUCAAAUUAAUUACAGAAAAAUAUAGAUUUAAAGCUACAGCAAAAAUUUUAUACUAAAAUAUACCAUAUUAUAUAUUCACUGUGUAGAUCUACUCAACAGGAGUCUAAUAAAAUUGAAAUUUUUAUUUUAUGAUUUUUUUGUGAUUUAUUAUGAUUUUUCAAAGAUUCAGCAAAAUAAAUAAAAAAUAAAAAAACAAAACCACACUCUAAAACCACUCGAGGGGAUUAUUUGACCGGUUUUGAAAGUUUAGGGGUAGAAUAUUUGGUUUUAUAGUUCGGAGGUAAAGUAGUCCAUCCU
rnacentral:lncRNA from 1 species